rnacentral:tRNA from 1 species
UCCCUGGUGGCUCAGACAGUAAAGCAUCUGCCUGCAAUUCAGGAGACUCAGGUUUGAUCCCUGGGUUGGGAA